AGGACGAACGCUGGCGGCGUGCUUAACACAUGCAAGUCGAACGAUGAACCACUUCGGUGGGGAUUAGUGGCGAACGGGUGAGUAACACGUGGGCAAUCUGCCCUGCACUCUGGGACAAGCCCUGGAAACGGGGUCUAAUACCGGAUAAUACCUGCUGAGGCAUCUCGGCGGGUUGAAAGCUCCGGCGGUGCAGGAUGAGCCCGCGGCCUAUCAGCUUGUUGGUGGGGUGAUGGCCUACCAAGGCGACGACGGGUA
rnacentral:rRNA from 1 species